rnacentral:rRNA from 1 species
UACGUAGGGUGCGAGCGUUGUCCGGAAUUAUUGGGCGUAAAGGGCUCGUAGGCGGUUUGUCGCGUCGGGAGUGAAAACGCCGUGCUUAACACGGCGCUUGCUUUCGAUACGGGCAGACUAGAGGUAUUCAGGGGAGAACGGAAUUCCUGGUGUAGCGGUGAAAUGCGCAGAUAUCAGGAGGAACACCGGUGGCGAAGGCGGUUCUCUGGGAAUGACCUGACGCUGAGGAGCGAAAGCCAGGGGAGCGAACGGG